rnacentral:snRNA from 1 species
GUGCUCAUUUUGGCAGCACAUAUGGUAAAAUUGGAACGAUACGGAGAAGAUUAGCAUGGCCCCCGUGCAAGGAUGACACGGAAAUUCGUGAAGCAUUCUGUAUUAAA